CUCAUCUCAGCUGAAGAAAACAGCACUUGGGAGUCAGAGAUCAAAAGUGUUCAGUGAAGACCUUUAUUAAUGAGGGAAGAGUUUCAUUGGAGUUGGAAGGCAAACACAGAAAAGUAAACACAGCCCACUGGAUUACCACAGUGGCAUAAUUGAUGAGUCCAGCAAUUUUCUGUGAAGUGUUGACAGUGAGCAGACCUUUGUUUGCGGAGAACAAAAUGUGAUCAUCAGUACAUUGCAGAGGCCUGGCACUCACAGUCCCCUAUUAGCUUUAUGCAUUACUGACCUCCACAGGCUUUUCAGGGGAAGACACAGCAGGAAGAGACGAAGGUCAGUACAGAAAGUGUUACUGCUUUUGCAGGCAAGUAUUGUGUAUUUAAUGAUUGUCUUAUACCAUUUUUGCAUGUAAGGCUGGGCUGUUCUUUUUUGGUAAAAUCAUUGGUCCGUAAGAUUUUUUUUCUUAUUUCAGUCCGAGGGUCAGUGAUAGAGAGCACUAUCAAGUUCCACUGGCUCCAUGUCACACGAUGCUUCAAAACCCAAGUGAAGCUGUGAUCAUGUCAAAGUUCUCUGGGUGCCACUGCAUCCAGAUCAAGACACUAUUGUGUGCAUUAUUCUUCCUCAUUGGUUCACGCCAAGUUUGUCUGUGUGUAUGAAACCCAGAUUUGAAGAUGUGAUGUGAUGAAAUGGGCAUGCUACUGUCAUGUGUUGCUACAAGUGUCUGGCUCGAUUCCCAGGCCUGUGGCUCAGUUCUUGAAUGGUCAGGAGGAGGAAACACCACAGAGUUACCGAGAUAUGUCUUAAACAAAACAGCCUCUGGAUUGCUCAACUGAAUGCCCUUAUAAACAUGCUGUUAGGGGAAGUCACCCCUGGUGAUCAUCAGAACAUCAUGACAAUAUGCACAAUUGAUGUACAUGCGAGGGUUGUUGUAGCCACGCUUAUAGCCCAGAAGCUGCCAAGAUCAAGGAUUAUGCUGUUUCUCUGCAUUUCCAAACACCCUCCUAUCCCACAAUGAACUCCCAUUGCUAACCUUUAUUCUCUAUGGAAAGAUGUCAAGGUAUUGAGAGACAUGGAGAUUGAUUCAUCAUUUUAGUCUUGAGUUAGGAGCUGAAACUACUUGAGAUAGAGACUGGACAAUGUCACCUCAGUAGUGCUUAUGCUGACCACUACUGUGUGUAAAGCAAAAAUGUCCAACUUCAAAGCUUACAGCAAGGCUUGUUCUUGAUGGCAACAUAAACAACCUAAUAAAAUCAUAUUCUGCAGCUUUUUCUAAAGCGCUGCAACCCUAAAAGCAUGAACAAAUAUAAAAUUGUGAGACAUGUUUGUUUCUUCAGCUUAAUGCAAUGCUAUCACUCUCCAAGUAUAAUUUUCUAAGUUUCGUAAUAGUUAUAAGAGCAAUAAUUUCCUUGCAUGUGAUAACAACAGCUGAUGAGAAAAGCAGGGAAGUUUGGUCACUUAGACUUCACCAAAUGGGAAGAGGGAGAUAUCAAUUAUCUCUUAGAAAAGCUGUGGGAUCAAUGUGUCGGAGAGGUGUACAAGAAUAAAAAAGGAGGAUGACUCAUGGAGGGGAAGGUGGAAAGACAGAGCAUCUUGAUCAGGAAAGGACAAAAGAAAAAGUCUGAUUCCUCAGAAGCCAAUGGAGGCAGACCUGCAAGCAAAGUACAAGGUGAGCAGUUUACAGCAAUAACAAGAAAUACUGCAGGGUUAGAGGAUCAUGCAGAGAUGGUCACAGAAGAAAGCAGAAGUACUGCAGUGCUAAGGGAAAAGGUUUUUACAAAGUCACAGAUAUCAGAAAGCACAUGCAAGACCAUCACAAAGGUGAAGAAGAUGAAGAUCAAGGGCGGAGAAGAGGACUAAUGAGCCUGGGAGAUUUUGGACAAGCAAGGAGAAGCACUGGUGCCUGCUGCACAGUAUAUGAAAGAAAAGACAUUGAUAAAUCGAAAUGAUUUCUUCAAGCAGAUGAAAAAUAUCACUGGGUAGGAAGUGAAGAAAUUUGCCUUGAUUGCAACCAGAAAAAUCUGGUGAGGUAAAAUGAA